GAGUUUGAUCAUGGUUCAGAUUGAACGCUGGCGGCAUGCCUAACACAUGCAAGUCGAACGGUAACAGGUCUUCGGAUGCUGACGAGAGGCGGACGGGUGAGUAAUGCGUAGGAAUCUGUCUUUUAGUGGGGGACAACCCAGGGAAACUUGGGCUAAUACCGCAUGAGCCCUGAGGGGGAAAGCGGGGGAUCUUCGGACCUCGCGCUAAGAGAGGAGCCUACGUCCGAUUAGCUAGUUGGCGGGGUAAAGGCCCACCAAGGCGACGAUCGGUAGCUGGUCUGAGAGGACGACCAGCCACACUGGGACUGAGACACGGCCCAGACUCCUACGGGAGGCAGCCGUGGGGAAUUUUUCGCAAUGGGGGCAACCCUGACGAAGCAAUGCCGCGUGGAUGAAGAAGGCCUUCGGGUUGUAAAGUCCUUUCGUGGAGGACGAAAAGGUGGGUUCUAAUACAAUCUGCUAUUGACGUGAAUCCAAGAAGAAGCACCGGCUAACUCCGUGCCAGCAGCCGCGGUAAUACGGGGGGUGCAAGCGUUAAUCGGAAUCACUGGGCGUAAAGGGUGCGUAGGCGGUACGUUAGGUCUGUCGUGAAAUCCCCGGGCUCAACCUGG
rnacentral:rRNA from 1 species